rnacentral:lncRNA from 1 species
AGCUGCUACCCCCAAAUGAAAGCCCAUUCUUAGGCGAGUUGAUCGCCACUAAAUGCAACUGUUACCAUCGCCGGAAAAGCCAUGAACGACAUUAAAGAACUUACUGUCCUCUUACAGGUUUUCCCGAUGCCCAUCGCCGUUAGAGCUAAUGCCGUUGUUGCUGUUGUACUCGCCAGCGCCUCCUCCUUCUCUGACCAACUCCACCGCACCUCAUACGAGCUCACCUCCCAUCUGCCAUUAAUGGUCGUUCCCAAGCUCCCUCUCUCUUCCUUCUUC